rnacentral:rRNA from 1 species
CGCGGCCUAUCAGCUUGUUGGUGGGGUGAUGGCCUACCAAGGCGACGACGGGUAGCCGGCCUGAGAGGGCGACCGGCCACACUGGGACUGAGACACGGCCCAGACUCCUACGGGAGGCAGCAGUGGGGAAUAUUGCACAAUGGGCGGAAGCCUGAUGCAGCGACGCCGCGUGAGGGAUGACGGCCUUCGGGUUGUAAACCUCUUUCAGCAGGGACGAAGCGUAAGUGACGGUACCUGCAGAAGAAGCGCCGGCCAACUACGUGCCAGCAGCCGCGGUAAGACGUAGGGCGCGAGCGUUGUCCGGAUUUAUUGGGCGUAAAGAGCUCGUAGGCGGCUUGUCGCGUCGACUGUGAAAACCCGCAGCUCAACUGCGGGCCUGCAGUCGAUACGGGCAGGCUAGAGUUCGGUAGGGGAGACUGGAAUUCCUGGUGUAGCGGUGAAAUGCGCAGAUAUCAGGAGGAACACCGAUGGCGAAGGCAGGUCUCUGGGCCGAUACUGACGCUGAGGAGCGAAAGCGUGGGGAGCGAACAGGAUUAGAUACCCUGGUAGUCCACGCUGUAAACGUUGGGCGCUAGGUGUGGGGAGCCUCUCCGGUUCCCUGUGCCGCAGCUAACGCAUUAAGCGCCCCGCCUGGGGAGUACGG